CAAAGAGAACUACAUUACCCAGAAUCCUCCAGCAGAUCCAAGCCUCUACGGAAGACCGGGUAGCUCCUUUGCGUCUACAGUCCGCGUUUUCUACACAGCUCGGAGUGGCUUUUUGCAGUGAGGGGAGAAACGGCGCAGAAACGCGCUCACUGAUCUAUCUUUCUCUCACUCUCGUGCGCGCUCUCUGUCUCCGUCCCCGAGGCGCCUCUGCGUGAAACCGGCAACACUCACUUUUUACAAUUCCAAUUAUUUUAUUUUUUUCCUAGAUCUUAGGGGAUUUUUUUUAUUUUUGUGUUGUCGUUUUUUUAGAUAAUUUCUCGAGUUUUUUUUUUUUAUUAAAUUAAAUUUGUUUUAUAUUUCUUAACCAGAUUCUCUCACACAGCUGCUCACUUCGGCGUCUCCAGUCAGCAGCAGCACCGGACCAGCAUGCGCGCGCCGGACCGGGCUGUGGAGUGCGCUCUGCUCGCGAGCCCCUGCGCUCCUAGACCGGGGCACGGUUCCACGAGCCAGUCCAGCUGAGGAGGCAACAUCAGCAGCAGCAUUGACCAUUGAGCAGCGGCGACGGCGACAGCGCUGCUGAUGCGCGCGUGAGGAGCUCGCGCCCAACGCUGCUGCAGCGUGAGCGCGAGCGCGGCGCCUCCCGGUGAGCGCGCGGUGGUGGUGGCGGCGGCUCCUUCGUCGUCUGGCUGGCCGACUGACUGACUGACUGAGUGAGCGAGCGAGUGGCUGCACGAGGCUGGAGAUUUGCAUAUCAGAGGCGCGCCGCAUCUCACGAGGAAAAACAUCGCCUGGUGCUUUCCUGUGACUUCACACCUAAAGCUCCUGAUCACUGGAGGCCCUGCACUCACACUGACCCAGCAAGGAUUGUGUGAUUGGGCUGGAUCAGCAUCUCCACAGUACAAUAGCAUAAGGUGUCAGAUAUUUGCUGCCUAAGGGACAAUAGCCCUAGGGCACUCAGACUGGACGACAUUACAUACAUACACUAGUAUA
rnacentral:lncRNA from 1 species